UGCGGGGUAGUGUAGUAGCAACAUGGAGGUCUCAUAAGCCUCAGUCCCAGGUGCAAAUCCUGGCCCCGCGCCCA
rnacentral:tRNA from 1 species